rnacentral:rRNA from 1 species
AUUGGACAAUGUGGGCUACCCUGAUCCAUCCAUGUCGCGUGUGUGAAGAAGUUCUUCGGAUUGUAAAGCACUUUAAGUUGGGAGGAAGGGUUUUAUGCUACUACCCUGAAGUUUUGACGUUAACAACAGUAUAAGCACUUGCUAACUAUGUGCACGCAGCCGCGGUAAUACAGAGGGUGCAAGCGUUAAUCGGAAUUACUGGGCGUAAAGCGCGCGUAGGUGGUUCAGUAAGAUGGGUGUGAAAUCCCCGGGCUUAACCUGGGAACUGCUUUCAUAACUGCUGAGCUAGAGUACGGUAGAGGGUAGUGGAAUUUCCUGUGUAGCGGUGAAAUGCGUAGAUAUAGGAAGGAACACCAGUGGCGAAGGCGACUACCUGGACUGAUACUGACACUGAGGUGCGAAAGCGUGGGGAGCAAACA